UUUAUUUAGGCAGCAACCAUUUGAUUUUCUGGGGGGGGCUAUGGUUUUUUUUUCUGUGCAAACUUUUUUUUUCGCCUGCGGCGAAAAACAAUCUAUUUUUUUCGCGACAAGUCGAAAACAAUUUUUUUUCUUUCAAUUUUAGCAUUACAUAUAGUGGCAGCUGAGGGUGAAACAAACAAUUUUUUUUUCUCAGAAUCAAAAACAAAUUAUUUUUUUCUCAAAAAACUGGAAACAAACUUUUUUUUCCAAAAAAAACCAUAGCCCCCCCCAGAAAAUCAAAUGGUUGC
rnacentral:lncRNA from 1 species